rnacentral:ncRNA from 1 species
UAUAUUAUGUUAUAGGGGUUAAUGUGUCAACAGUCACCUAACCUAUACCUUGAAUCUACACCCCCUAACCUUAUAAAUCAUCGACCCAUAACCCAUAACCCUUCUAAAGACGCAAUGUGAUUUAUUCCUAUUGCUCUGCAUGUCAAAGUGAAGAAAUUCAACCAAGCAUAGGUAAACAAAGGGAGUAACUAUGACUAUCUUAAGCUAGCCAUAUUCCUCGUCAUCUAAUUAGUGACGUGCAUGAAUGGAUCAUUAAUGAGAUUCCCCAUUGUCCCUACAUACUAUAUUCUAGAGAAAUCACAUUCAAGGGAAUGGGCUUGGCAGAAUUACUGGGGAAAGAAGAUGCUCAUGUUGAGAUUGACUCUAGUCCUAACCCAUUCAUAGUUUGGU